GGGAUUUUUUUCUGUAGCAAUACAGGAAAAAGUCUAGUGGCGAACGGGUGCGUAACACGUGAGCAACCUGCCGUGAAGUGGGGGAUAGCUCGCCGAAAGGCGAAUUAAUACCGCAUGUUGCCAAGGAAGACAUCUUCCUGACGCCAAAGCCGGGGCAACCUGGCGCUUCUCGAGGGGCUCGCGGCCUAUCAGCUUGUUGGUGAGGUAACGGCUCACCAAGGCUAUGACGGGUAGCUGGUCUGAGAGGACGACCAGCCACACUGGAACUGAGACACGGUCCAGACACCUACGGGUGGCAGCAGUCGAGAAUUUUUCACAAUGGGGGAAACCCUGAUGGAGCGACGCCGCGUGGAGGAUGAAGGUUUUCGGAUUGUAAACUCCUGUCAUUAGAGAACAAGGCACACGGUUUAACUGACCGUGUGUUGAUAGUAUCUGAAGAGGAAGAGACGGCUAACUCUGUGCCAGCAGCCGCGGUAAUACAGAGGUCUCAAGCGUUGUUCGGAUUCAUUGGGCGUAAAGGGUGCGUAGGUGGCGAUGUAAGUCGGAUGUGAAAUCUCCAAGCUUAACUUGGAAACUGCAUUCGAUACUGCGUUGCUAGAGGACUGUAGAGGGCAUUGGAAUUCACGGUGUAGCAGUGAAAUGCGUAGAUAUCGUGAGGAAGACCAGUGGCGAAGGCGAAUGCCUGGGCAGUUCCUGACACUGA
rnacentral:rRNA from 1 species